rnacentral:rRNA from 1 species
ACGGGAGGCAGCAGUGGGGAAUAUUGCACAAUGGGGGAAACCCUGAUGCAGCGACGCCGCGUGAGUGAAGAAGUAUUUCGGUAUGUAAAGCUCUAUCAGCAGGGAAGAUAAUGACGGUACCUGACUAAGAAGCACCGGCUAAAUACGUGCCAGCAGCCGCGGUAAUACGUAUGGUGCAAGCGUUAUCCGGAUUUACUGGGUGUAAAGGGAGCGCAGGCGGUACGGCAAGUCUGAUGUGAAAGCCCGGGGCUCAACCCCGGUACUGCAUUGGAAACUGUCGAACUAGAGUGUCAGAGGGGUAAGUGGAAUUCCUAGUGUAGCGGUGAAAUGCGUAGAUAUUAGGAGGAACACCAGUGGCGAAGGCGGCUUACUGGACGACAACUGACGCUGAGGCUCGAAAGCGUGGGGAGCAAACAGGAUUAGAUACCCUGGUA